UACGAAGGGGGCUAGCGUUGCUCGGAUUGACUGGGCGUAAAGGGCGCGUAGGCGGUUCGUACAGUCAGACGUGAAAUUCCUGGGCUCAACCUGGGGGCUGCGUUUGAUACGUGCGGACUUGAGUGCGGAAGAGGGUCGUGGAAUUCCCGGUGUAGCGGUGAAAUGCGCAGAUAUCUGGAGGAACACCGGUGGCGAAGGCGGCAUCCUGGACCAACACUGACGCUGAGGAGCGAAAGCCAGGGGAGCAAACGGG
rnacentral:rRNA from 1 species